GACUCGUCACACUAUCAUUAACUGAAUCCAUAGGUUAAUGAGGCGAACCGGGGGAACUGAAACAUCUAAGUACCCCGAGGAAAAGAAAUCAACCGAGAUUCCCCCAGUAGCGGCGAGCGAACGGGGAGGAGCCCAGAGCCUGAAUCAGCAUGUGUGUUAGUGGAAGCGUCUGGAAAGGCGCGCGAUACAGGGUGACAGCCCCGUACACAAAAGCGCAUGUGCUGUGAGCUCGAUGAGUAGGGCGGGACACGUGGUAUCCUGUCUGAAUAUGGGGGGACCAUCCUCCAAGGCUAAAUACUCCUGACUGACCGAUAGUGAACCAGUACCGUGAGGGAAAGGCGAAAAGAACCCCGGCGAGGGGAGUGAAAAAGAACCUGAAACCGUGUACGUACAAGCAGUGGGAGCACCCUUUGGGGUGUGACUGCGUACCUUUUGUAUAAUGGGUCAGCGACUUAUAUUCUGUAGCAAGGUUAACCGAAUAGGGGAGCCGGAGGGAAACCGAGUCUUAAUUGGGCGUUAAGUUGCAGGGUAUAGACCCGAAACCCGGUGAUCUAGCCAUGGGCAGGUUGAAGGUUGGGUAACACUAACUGGAGGACCGAACCGACUAAUGUUGAAAAAUUAGCGGAUGACCUGUGGCUGGGGGUGAAAGGCCAAUCAAACCGGGAGAUAGCUGGUUCUCCCCGAAAGCUAUUUAGGUAGCGCCUCGUGAAUUCAUCUCCGGGGGUAGAGCACUGUUUCGGCUAGGGGGCCAUCCCGGCUUACCAACCCGAUGCAAACUGCGAAUACCGGAGAAUGUUAUCACGGGAGACACACGGCGGGUGCUAACGUCCGUCGUGAAGAGGGAAACAACCCAGACCGCCAGCUAAGGUCCCAAAGUCAUGGUUAAGUGGGAAACGAUGUGGGAAGGCCCAGACAGCCAGGAUGUUGGCUUAGAAGCAGCCAUCAUUUAAAGAAAGCGUAAUAGCUCACUGGUCGAGUCGGCCUGCGCGGAAGAUGUAACGGGGCUAAACCAUGCACCGAAGCUGCGGCAGCGACACUCAGGUGUUGUUGGGUAGGGGAGCGUUCUGUAAGCCUGCGAAGGUGGCCUGUGAGGGUUGCUGGAGGUAUCAGAAGUGCGAAUGCUGACAUAAGUAACGAUAAAGCGGGUGAAAAGCCCGCUCGCCGGAAGACCAAGGGUUCCUGUCCAACGUUAAUCGGGGCAGGGUGAGUCGACCCCUAAGGCGAGGCCGAAAGGCGUAGUCGAUGGGAAACGGGUUAAUAUUCCCGUACUUGGUGUUACUGCGAAGGGGGGACGGAGAAGGCUAUGUUGGCCGGGCGACGGUUGUCCCGGUUUAAGCGUGUAGGUGUGUGUUCCAGGUAAAUCCGGUUCACUUUAACACUGAGGCGUGACGACGAGGCACUACGGUGCUGAAGCAACAAAUGCCCUGCUUCCAGGAAAAGCCUCUAAGCAUCAGGUAACAUCAAAUCGUACCCCAAACCGACACAGGUGGUCAGGUAGAGAAUACCAAGGCGCUUGAGAGAACUCGGGUGAAGGAACUAGGCAAAAUGGUGCCGUAACUUCGGGAGAAGGCACGCUGACACGUAGGUGAAGUGAUUUACUCA
rnacentral:rRNA from 1 species